UACGUAGGGUGCGAGCGUUAAUCGGAAUUACUGGGCGUAAAGCGUGCGCAGGCGGCUUUACAAGACAGAUGUGAAAUCCCCGGGCUCAACCUGGGAACUGCAUUUGUGACUGCAAGGCUAGAGUACGGCAGAGGGGGAUGGAAUUCCGCGUGUAGCAGUGAAAUGCGUAGAUAUGCGGAGGAACACCAAUGGCGAAGGCAAUCCCCUGGGCCUGUACUGACGCUCAUGCACGAAAGCGUGGGGAGCAAACAGG
rnacentral:rRNA from 1 species